GUGUAGCUCAGUUGGUAGAACACCUGCCUGACAUGCAUGAGGUCCUGGGUUCAAUCCCAGNAC
rnacentral:tRNA from 1 species